GAGGUCAAUCCCUUUAUUAAUAAAGUGGCCAUAACAAGUGGAUUGGUUUCUCUGUCGUUGCCGGAUAGCUCUUAAAGCUGAUCGUUUUUCAUGUCGAGCACAUCGUAAAUAGUACCCACUAAUCCUACUUUUGCUAUAGAAACUAGAACCAAUCUGUUUGAUUGGCAGUGAUAUCUUCAACUGCUCAUUCACAUCCUUUCGACUGCUUGCUUCUUCGGUUCUUGUCAGGUUUCUGAAUUGAAGUUGAACAACGAAACUGUAUCGAUCGAGCUCGAGAAAGGUACUGUUGUCCAUGGCUACCAUCACUGGUGUUGAUGUGAGCUUGUUAAACUGACUCUGAAGGGUAAGAACACUGUGACUCUCCAUCAUCUAACCUUUGUUGGUUACUACUAUCUUUAAGGGAUUGCACGGGUGAGGAAAAGCAGAAGGUACACCGUAUCCCUGGGGAUAGGAGGAUGGCACACCGUAUCCCUGAGGCCAUGGAUAACACGGCACAGGUGUUGGCACUGGAGGUGGUUUCUUAUCAUCUGUUCCUUUCUUGUCAUCUGUUCCUUUCUUAUCAUCUGUCCCUUUCUUCUCGCCACCUUUUUUGUCACCGUCUUUUCCCCCUACUGCAUCUUUUCCAUCCCCUCCCUUCUUCUCUUCUUCUUUCUUCGGAGGUUCGACUUUGGUCACGCUUA